UCACUAAAAUUAUUUAUUCUUUGGAGACCAAAGAUCCAACACCAAAUCUCCUUGUGUGGAUAGCUCUCCUCUACAUUCUUCAAGAUUGAUUACUCUCCUUCCCUUACAGGCACGUAACUAUCCAACCAUUCAACGGCAGAAAUCGAGAGUUCAAAGGGGCUGCCUAAUUCUCUUCCAAUAAGCAUCCCAAAUUCAAAGCUCGUUGAAAGGUAUACUCCCUCUCAAUUUCAAGUCCCAUACAUAGCAUAUCGUCAUCCACCACUCCCCCACAAGUAAUUUAGUCAAUCAAUCUCAAACUCCAACAAUUGAACACCCAUCACAGAGUAAUUGAAAACUGAAAACGAAAGAACAUUGCUUUGUAAAAGAACUUCACUUUCGGGGUUGUUUUGAAUGGUUCGGGGGCUGCCGGAUACCGGCGAGGUUGUUUCGUAUGACGGAGGCGGCGGCGCAUCAGAACAGCAGCGGCGUUGCUCUCCCACCGACGGAGUUCGCGAGGCAGCAAGACGAUGGCGGCGGUUGGAGCCCUAGGCUCGGCAACAACAGCCAGCGAUCAGGGGGGGAGUGAGAGGCUGAGAGCAGCGUCGAGAGAGGAAGAGGGAGUGGGGGAAGAAAGAAAGAAAGAGAGAGAGAAGAGAAGAGGAGCACUGCCGGAGACGUGUAGCAGGUAGUGAGAAGUGGGGAGCUUCUCUCCCAUCAAAGUAAGAUUUGGAUCAGAAUGGUGAGGCAGAUGAAAUGGAUAGUUGUACGUGGCUUCUUUUCUUAUUGGGUUCCGAAAUAUUCAUUUGGGAUAAGUGAGUGGAAGAAUUAAAAUUCGAGCCCAACUAAGGAGGCCCAGUUCCGAAAUUUAAUUACUAGGGUUGAAAAUAAAGGGAAGUCUUGGCCCAAUUUCGAAAUCUGAAUUUAUUGGGAGGGAUUCAAUAUUAAAUUUUAUCCUAAGUUAUCGGUAUUUAUAUAUAUGGUUUAUUAAGUUUUAAAUUAAGCUUCAAUCGGUAUUUAUAUAUAUGUUUAUUUUAAAGUAUAGCUAAUCUAAAAUAAUUGAUCUUUGGCUUUGUUAGAAUUCUGCAGGAGUAAAAUUCAUUGUAAAGUAUGGACUUCCAAUUUAGUCAAAGCCCAGGAAUAUUGAAAGGAGUAUUAAAUAAUAUAUGAGUUUCAAAAGUUUCAAAGGAUAAGCGAAAAAUGAGAGGGCUUAAUUAGAAGGCAUGCAUUUCCUAUUAAAGAUAAAAAAAAUUUUUCUUGAAGUCUAAUUAGUAUUUUAUAUUAUAUUGUAUUUUCUUGAAAAAGGUUAUCUCCGCAAGUUAAGGUCGGAACGAGAAAAUCAAGUUAAGGAAAUUAAACAAACUAGGUUGAGCAGUGACGGUGGAGAAUGCUGAGUAGAGUUAUGAUUUUCCUUUUAUUUUAAGUAGAGGCUCUCGGUGGUGCAUGUCACCAUACAUGUGACCGUGUUCAUUCCGCUGCGUACUAAGAUUCUAGUUAACCUCGAUUGCUCUUCUGUACUCUGAUAAUUAUUUAUUGAAAAGUAAGAUUUCCAUUCAAGUUC